UCGUUGAAAAGAAAGUCAAACAUGUUAAAUGUUCAAAGGUCAGGCAGUGCCGGAGAAAGGAAAAUAAAAACACAUCACCUGUUUAAAUUAUAUCUAUGAUCAAGUUCACAUUCAGUUAAGAAAUGAAGCUUCUGUUAAGGCUAUGUCUUCCACAGAUGUCUUCAGAAGAAAUUGAUGACCGAUUCCCUAGGGAAAAAAAGCAAAGAAGCAAAACUAGGCAGAACAAGAAUCAGAACCGCGAGGAAGAAAACAGGACCAAAAACCAUGGAACGAGAAACACAAUGAUGAAAUGCUUGGUACGGGUACGGCGGAAAACACAGAAACACACAAUACAUUGCGCCCAAUAUCCUGGAGUGAUGAUAAAGUUUCUGUUUUGUGUUUUCUUUCCAUCCCUCUAGAUAAUAUGACACAGACAGUCUUCCUCUGUUAGCGAGUACCAACUCUGGAUACAUUGAACCUCUGCGAGCGAGACUUCCCAUAAUCCGUUCAAAUCGAUUGGUUUGGUGAAUUUAGUAGUGUAGUGCGCGAUCUUAUUAUUAGUGUAAAUACCCAGCGACGUGUUGCUUGGAAGCGUCACAAAGAAUCCGCACUCUUCCAUGGUUUAAUGAAUAUCGAUUUCAGCUUUGUUCACGACGAUCCUUUAUUUAUGUUAACUACGUCUACGACCGGGAACCAGGAAUUAAAUUUAUCGGGCCGACCCACCCAUUUCACCAGGCAGACUUUUUUCUGGUUUCGGGUCUUUUCAGACA
ensembl:lncRNA